rnacentral:rRNA from 1 species
UACGUAGGGUGCGAGCGUUGUCCGGAUUUAUUGGGCGUAAAGAGCUCGUAGGCGGUUUGUCGCGUCUGCUGUGAAAUCCCGAGGCUCAACCUCGGGUCUGCAGUGGGUACGGGCAGACUGGAGUGCGGUAGGGGAGAAUGGAAUUCCUGGUGUAGCGGUGGAAUGCGCAGAUAUCAGGAGGAACACCGAUGGCGAAGGCAGUUCUCUGGGCCGUAACUGACGCUGAGGAGCGAAAGCGUGGGGAGCGAACAGG